CAGCAGCCACGGUAAUACGUAGGGCGCAAGCGUUAUCCGGAAUUAUUGGGCGUAAAGAGCUCGUAGGCGGUUUGUCGCGUCUGCCGUGAAAGUCCGGGGCUCAACCCCGGAUCUGCGGUGGGUACGGGCAGACUAGAGUGAUGUAGGGGAGACUGGAAUUCCUGGUGUAGCGGUGAAAUGCGCAGAUAUCAGGAGGAACACCGAUGGCGAAGGCAGGUCUCUGGGCAUUAACUGACGCUGAGGAGCGAAAGCAUGGGGAGCGAACAGGAUUAGAUACCCCCGUAGUCCCUGUCUCUUAUAC
rnacentral:rRNA from 1 species